rfam:Solirubrobacterales bacterium 70-9 SCNpilot_bf_inoc_scaffold_7247, whole genome shotgun sequence.
GCGGCUGUGGCGGAACUGGUAGACGCGCAAGGUUGAGGGCCUUGUGGGUGGAAACACCCGUGAUGGUUCGACUCCAUUCAGCCGCA